UAAACAAUGAGCCUCCACCUUCCAUCUGCCUCUUGUUUGAGCUUCCUCUACUUCAACCUGUGGAGGCCAGCUCAGCGAGAGGCAGGAAGAUCUGAGCAUUUCCAGAAAAACGUUGCCAGACCGCGAGUCUGGUGCUGUGUGUGCUGCCUCGUGAAAGGGAGGCGAAGGACCAGCCACAGUUUGGGCCUUGGACAGGCAGCUGCAGACACAAGGACAACUUUACCAACACACUUCCCGCCAAGCUGUCCUCCUCGCUGUCAUGGCCCCAUAGCAGAGUGACUGUCAUGGAGCUCGUGCUCAACGGAUGCAUGAAAAAACAUGACUCUGGGCAUGGGUUGCACCUGCUCGCUUCUGUGUACACCUGGCACACAGAGCACAGUGAGUGUUGCCUGCUGAAUGGAAGAAUUACUGAAUGAGUGAAGGGUAGAAAAAGCCGGACUUUACAGAGAUUGGAUGCAGGAGAAAAUCCCACAACUAUAGAUGGGGAAAACAAACCAAGAGGUUAUUAUUCUGAUAAAGAGGGAAACAACUCAAUAUCAUUUUGGAUAAAAAAGGG
rnacentral:lncRNA from 1 species